GAUGAACGCUGGCGGCAUGCCUUACACAUGCAAGUCGAACGGCAGCACGGGAGCAAUCCUGGUGGCGAGUGGCGAACGGGUGAGUAAUGUAUCGGAACGUGCCCAGUCGAGGGGGAUAACGUAGCGAAAGCUGCGCUAAUACCGCAUACGAUCUAUGGAUGAAAGCGGGGGAUCGAAAGACCUCGCGCGAUUGGAGCGGCCGAUAUCAUAUUAGGUAGUUGGUGGGGUAAAGGCUCCCCAAGCCGACGAUCUGUAGCUGGUCUGAGAGGACGACCAGCCACACUGGGACUGAGAAACGGUCCAGACUCCUACGGGAGGCAGCAGUGGGGAAUGUUGGACAAUGGGCGAAAGCCUGAUCCAGCAAUGCCGCGUGCAGGAUGAAGGCCUUCGGGUUGUAAACUGCUUUUGUACGGAACGAAACGGUGAGCUCUAAUACAGUUUGCUAAUGACGGUACCGUAAGAAUAAGCACCGGCUAACUACGUGCCAGCCGCCGCGGUAA
rnacentral:rRNA from 1 species